UACAGAGGUCUCAAGCGUUGUUCGGAUUCAUUGGGCGUAAAGGGUGCGUAGGCGGCGCGGUAAGUCGGGUGUGAAAUCCCGGGGCUUAACCCCGGGACUGCAUUCCAUACUGCGGUGCUUGAGGACUGGAGAGGAGACUGGAAUUUACGGUGUAGCAGUGAAAUGCGUAGAGAUCGUAAGGAAGACCAGUGGCGAAGGCGGGUCUCUGGACAGUUCCUGACACUGGGGCACGAAGGCCAGGGGAGCAAACGGG
rnacentral:rRNA from 1 species